GUGAGUAACACGUGGGCAAUCUGCCCUGCACUCUGGGACAAGCCCUGGAAACGGGGUCUAAUACCGGAUAUGAGCUUCCACCGCAUGGUGGGGGCUGUAAAGCUCCGGCGGUGCAGGAUGAGCCCGCGGCCUAUCAGCUUGUUGGUGAGGUAACGGCUCACCAAGGCGACGACGGGUAGCCGGCCUGAGAGGGCGACCGGCCACACUGGGACUGAGACACGGCCCAGACUCCUACGGGAGGCAGCAGUGGGGAAUAUUGCACAAUGGGCGCAAGCCUGAUGCAGCGACGCCGCGUGAGGGAUGACGGCCUUCGGGUUGUAAACCUCUUUCAGCAGGGAAGAAGCGCAAGUGACGGUACCUGCAGAAGAAGCGCCGGCUAACUACGUGCCAGCAGCCGCGGUAAUACGUAGGGCGCAAGCGUUGUCCGGAAUUAUUGGGCGUAAAGAGCUCGUAGGCGGCUUGUCGCGUCGGUUGUGAAAGCCCGGGGCUUAACCCCGGGUCUGCAGUCGAUACGGGCAGGCUAGAGUUCGGUAGGGGAGAUCGGAAUUCCUGGUGUAGCGGUGAAAUGCGCAGAUAUCAGGAGGAACACCGGUGGCGAAGGCGGAUCUCUGGGCCGAUACUGACGCUGAGGAGCGAAAGCGUGGGGAGCGAACAGGAUUAGAUACCCUGGUAGUCCACGCCGUAAACGGUGGGCACUAGG
rnacentral:rRNA from 1 species